GAUGAACGCUGGCGGCGUGCCUAAUACAUGCAAGUAGAACGCUGAAGGAGGAGCUUGCUCUUCUGGAUGAGUUGCGAACGGGUGAGUAACGCGUAGGUAACCUGCCUGGUAGCGGGGGAUAACUAUUGGAAACGAUAGCUAAUACCGCAUGACAACAGUUAUUGCAUGAUAACUGUUUAAAAGGGGCAACUGCUCCACUACCAGAUGGACCUGCGUUGUAUUAGCUAGUUGGUGAGGUAACGGCUCACCAAGGCGACGAUACAUAGCCGACCUGAGAGGGUGAUCCGCCACAAUGGGACUGAGACACGGCCCAGACUCCUACGGGAGGCAGCAGUAGGGAAUCUUCGGAAAUGGACGGAAGGCUGAACGAGCCAAGCCGCGUGAGGGAAGAAGGUUUUCGGAUCGGAAAGCUCUGUUGUAAGAGAAGAAAGAGUGUGAGAGUGGAAAGUUCACACUGUGACGGUAUCUUACCAGAAAGGGACGGCUAACUACGUG
rnacentral:rRNA from 1 species